rnacentral:rRNA from 1 species
AUUAACGCUAGCGGCAGGCAUAAUACAUGCAAGUUGAACGGCAGCACAGGUAGCAAUACUGGGUGGCGAGUGGCGCACGGGUGCGUAACACGUAUGCAACCUACCCUGUACAGGCGAAUAACCUUUAGAAAUGAGGGCUAAUACGCCGUAGUAUUACAGAUGGGCAUCUAUUUGUAAUUAAAGAUUUAUCGGUAUAGGAUGGGCAUGCGUCCCAUUAGUUAGUUGGUAGGGUAACGGCCUACCAAGGCUAUGAUGGGUAGGGG